ensembl:lncRNA
GUUUUUGUGCGCUCGGCAUCACAAAACCAUUGAUGAUAAAGAUUCGCUUUUCAUUCCGAAUAUCUAUACUAUAUAUCACUGACAAUUUUGUACAUCGCUCAUUCUACCCGAAGAGGAUUAGUCGGACACAGUUGGAGCCCUUUAUCGCGCCAUCCUUGCUGACACAGAUGGUGCGAGACAGGUGCAUUUUGGACCGAUGGUCAAACUUGCAUCAAUGCAAAAGUGGCCAAACCCACAGCCCAGCUGGCAGGAGGCACGUCCCCAUGACAACUGAGAUUCCCUGGGGUCCCCGAUGGACUGAUGAAUACAGGAGUAGGGAGACAGGUAUGCGUCCAGUAUAUCCACACAUAUUGAAGGGGUUCUUCUAAAGACAGAGGAUUAACCACUACUAUUGGUGGUAAUGAUGUCUUGUAGGCUCCGUUCCUCCAUUAAAUUUGUAUUGACUAUUGUUUUUAUUAGGGGAGCUACCGAAGCAAGAUAUUAAUUUCAAUUAGGUCAGUGUAAGGUAAAACAUUUCAAAUAAGAUUUAAAAAAAAGGUUAAUAACUGUUUAGUAACUGUUCCUAAUCACCUAUGAUUCUGGGAAUUUUAUUAACCCUUCCCUCCUGCAUCCCAUGGUAUCUUUAGGCAGUAGUCAAGUCCAACGGUCCAGCCUCUCUUUGGUAGGGUUUUGGGGGCAGGUGUUCCAGGGGGUUGCGUUCCACUUUCUGCUGCUUGCUGCUCUGUGUUUCUCUCCAGAUAUGCUGAGGAGGAUACUGAGAUGGUGCCAGCCCUCAGAUGCCAUUUAGACGAGUCAACAACAUGACCAGACUGACAGAGCUGUCUACAAAGCUGUUUUCUAAACAGUUGUCAACGCGGUUCAUCCUUACCGAAUUGGAACUGGGACAGGAACUGGGACCUAUGGCUUUCACCCACUGACGAAUGAACAUUACUACAAGGCUACUGACGGAGCACACUUCUUUUGCUAUCGAUUUGUGUUAGAAGGAGAUCUUACAGUGAUUAUUAUUGUUAUUAUUAUUAUUUGGAAGUACCAUUGGCAUGUUGCUGGCCCCUUUAAUUGUAGUCUAUUUUAUGCCGACGUCAUUCAGGACGUCAUUCAGGACCACAUUUCAUGCCAUAAGAGAGACCCAUAAAGGGUGGGGUUUUAGUGUUGUCUGAUGCUUUGGCGCUUUCAUUUCUUUAAAUAUUGUUUACCUGAGGGAGCUCUCUCCCCUCCACUGUAAAAUAACACUUUAUCAUCCCCUUCCACACUGUUCAGCUGAUCAAAGCAGCGAGAGACUAACACCUCUCUCUGAUGCCUGCUUCUCCUCAUGCUGUCAGCACCUUUCUCUUCUCGGUAACCUUGGCAACACUUUUAACACCUUACUCACUUCCUUCUACCUCUGAUGUCUAACAUGACUAACAAGGUUGAGUCUGCUAAGAUGGCCUUCCUGCUAAUUUAAUUGAUGUGCUCCUAAAGGCGUCAGCAUGCUUCAGUUUGGCUGACGCCUUCCCGAAGUUGGCUAGGCAAACCGAACAAGUGGGCUUGCAUCCUCCCUUAAAAGAUCUUCACUUGGAAAACAAUAAAAAAGCGACAAUAGUACCGAUUGUCCAUUUUGACAUACCGUAGCCAGUAUAAACUUACUCAAAAUAUUCAGAAUGAAUCUAAGAUAACUCAAGAAAUCCGUCAUACAAUUUGACGUUUUUGCAGAGAUCUUAGUCGCGCAAUUUGACAUCUAAUUGAGAUGUCUGGUGCAGUAUUUCUCAAUGAAAACAUUUGCAUGAAAACAUGUCGUCUCUCGUUGAAUUACAACAAAGACUUUAUUGAAGAAUCCCUACUGUUGACCAAUCACCAACGAAGGAGCGUAGAUUUCGGCUACCGACUUUGGCUUGCCUCUAGAAAAAAUGUUGAGCUCGAACAGCCGAAAAAAACAUUGCUAAAGUCCAGAGCUAACAAAAACAUCACAAAAUGAUGUCAUAAUAUAUGCACAAAUUCUAUUGAACUGUUUUGGCUGGGAAGCAUGCGGACGUCUUAACCCAGUUGACAUACCCAUACCACUCCAGCAGCUCAUGCUUGUUAUCGUUAGUCUACUCUAAUGUUACAGGAGUGUUAUGAGGAUGUUAUGACUUUAAUAGGGUUGUGUCAGUGUUUGUGGCGGUGUUUGGAUGGUCUCCCGAGGCCUGGUUUGUCUUGUGAUUUCUGCAUGUACUGCAACUCCCAAUAACCUCAGCUAGAGUCAUAUAGAACUAACCAACACCAGAGUAAUCCUGGUUUGCUAACCUGGACUAACAAUCUAACAGUCACUAAUCAAGAUAAUCAACCAAACUAAACCCCAAGCCCCGUUGAGGGUAGGACGGCUCAUUUGAAUGGCCGGAACGGAGCAAAUGGAAUGUUAUCAAACACAUGGAAACCAUAUAUUUGAUAUAUUUGAUACCAGUCUAUUCAUUCUGCUCCAGCCAUGAGCCCUUCCUCCCAAAUUAAGGUGCCAACAAAGUCCUGUGGUGUAGGUGUACAUUUUGAGUUUAAGAGUGUGGCUCUUAGUGUAAUUAAUUUCCUUACCCAUUGAAACCAAACCAUCAGCUCUCUUGGCAUUCCUUAAUAAAUACACUAACAAAUACCCUCUAAUACCUAACAGUACUAAUGUCUGGUAACAGACAUUUUGUUACUUACACUAACCUGUACUAUACUAACUUGUACCUCUCCCAUUUUCCUGAAACCUUUCUUCCACCAGACACAGAUCACCCAAAAUCAUAUACAAUAACUAUGUAUUUAUCUAUCUGUCAUAACCUUAAGCUCAGUAAGUUGCUUGUUGAGAUGUUUUACUUUUGGCCCCUAAAGCACAACGGUGAGAAUGAUUCCAGGAUCUGGGAUGGGAAGCUGGAUUAACCAAUAGAUUUAAAGACAAAGCGCACCUACCUACCUGUAGCUCACUGGGUUGACCACACACUUCUGCUCAGGGGACGCCUAAAAACAUGUUACAAAUGUUUCAGUAACUAUGCUAAAGAAUUGUAUUAUUUUUUGUCAAAAGUGUUCCAUCUUAAUAGUUUAACAAAUAAUGGCUGACAAAUGUUUGUCCCCCUGUCCAUUGUGUGGCCAACCUCUAAAAGGUAUUGCAGCUCAGUGCUUGGUUUGUAGCCUGCAUAGACACAUGUGUAUUCUCUUAUUAGAUAAACCAAAGCAAAUAGCAACCCUUACCUGUUUUACUACUAACUGAGUGGUGACUGGUAUAUGAACAACAACCCUGGAUAAGGCCUAAUACUUUGGCCAUUGAUUUCUUGCUCUUACAGUAUGUUAGUAUCUUCUCUCAGACUAACACGUGGUGCUUCUUUCAAUGAAGUCUAACCAUGCUGUGACCAACUUAUCACCCAUCAUUUCUCCCUGCCCCUUGGUGAGAUCAAACAGCAUCUAGUAGGCCAUGCAGUAUCGUUUCUUUACUUCCUGAGUCGUCAUGAGGAUAGACAUCCCUGUGUCCUUGAUCGUGUGACACUUUACUUAACCUGCACUAGAGUGAGAAAGCACUAACUAUUGGGGCAUGAAACAGCUUCCCAGAAACUAACAAACUAACUAACCUACUAAUUAACUAAUUAUCUAACAAACUAACUGAAAUGACUAAUUGUGUACUGAGAGUUAUCAGGUUUUGGUUCAGCAAGCCAUCCCCCCCUGUGUGCGUGUGUGUGUACGUGUGUGUUGCGCGUGUGUGUGUGUGUGUGUGUGUGUACAUUGAUUCUCAAACUGUGUGCAUGAUGCCGUCAUUGUUUUUGUCUGAAUGAGUGUUAAGGAUUCAGCAUGCUCCAGUUCGGCUGGCGCCUAGCCAAAUUCGGCUAGGUGAACCGAAUGAGUCUGCCGCAUACUCCCUUAAAAGACCUUUGCUUGAAAAUUUGAAAAAGCAGCAAUAGUACUGUUUAUCAAUUUGAGAUGCCAUAGCCAGUACAUGCUUCCUUAAAAUAGUCAGAAUUAAUCGAAGAUAAUUCAGGAAAUCUGUCAUUAAUUUAGACUUUUUUGCAGAGGAGAUCUUAGUCAUGCAAUAGUACAUCUAAGAUUUUUGGUGCAGUAUUUCUCAAUUAAUAAAUGUGCAUGAAAACGAGUCGUCUAUCAUUAAAUGACAACAAAGACUUUAUUGAAGAAUCCCUACGGUUGACCAAUCACCGAUGAAUGGGGGUUAAUUUCGUCUCAGAACUUCGGUUUGCCUCUAGAAUGUUUUGGAUGUGUCAGAACAGCCCACCGAAGUCCAAAACUAACAAAAACGUCACAUAAUGUCUUCAUAAUAUAUGCACAAACUCUUCCGAACUGUGUUGACUGGGAAGCAUGAGGACGCCUUAAGUGUGUAUGUUUUUCUAUCAGUUUUUUCUAUGGAGUAACGUUAUGCUAUAGCAAUGUUGUCUUCAUCCACUAUUUACACAAAUGACUGAUGAUUGGCUGAUGAUAAAAUUAUUGUAGAGGCUGUUUUCUUAGACUUCAGUGCGGCUUUUGACAUGAUCGAUCAUAGUUUGCUGCUGGAAAAACGUAUGUGUUAUGGCUUUACAUCCCCUGCUAUAUCGUGGAUAAAGAGUUACCUGUCUAACAGAACACAGAUGGUGUUUUAAUGGAAGCCUCUCCAACAUAAUCCAGGUAGAAUCAGGAAUUUCCCAGGGCAGCCCGUUACUUUUUUCAAUCUGUAGUAAUGACAUGCCACUGGCUCUACUCAAUUGCGGAUGACUCAACACUAUACCCGUCAGCUACUACAGCGACUGAAAUGACCGCAACACUUAACAAAGAGCUGCGGUUAGUUUCAGAAUGGGUGGCAAGGAAUAAGUUCGUCCUAAAUAUUUCUAAAACUAAAAGCAUUGUAUUUGGGACAAAUCAUUCACUAAACCCUAAACCUCAACUAAAUCUUGGAAUACAUAAUGUGGAAACUGAGCAAGUUGAGGUGACUAAACUGCUUGGAGUAACCCUGGAUUGUAAACUGUCAUGGUCAAAACAUAUUGAUAGAACAGAAGCUAAGAUGGAGAAAAGUCUGUCUGUAACAAACAGCUUGGACACAGUUCGGACAACCAUGCACAAGACAUGCCACAAGAGGUCUCACAAGAGUCCCCAAGUCCAGAACAGACUAUGGGAGGUGCACAUUACUACAUAGAGCCAUGACUACAUGGAACUCAACAUCAACAUCAAGUAACUGAUGCAAGUAAUAAAAUUUGAUUUAAAAAAACAGAUAAAAUACACCUUAUGGAACAGCAGGGACUAUGAAGCAACACAAACAUAGGCACAUACACUUAACAUAGGCACACACACACAUAUACACACACACACACAAUAACAUACGCACUAUACACACACAUAAACAGGGAUUUUGUAUUGUAGAUAUUUGGUAGUGGAGUAGGAGCCUGAGGGCACACAGUAUGUUGAGAAAUUUGUUGUGAAUGUAUUGUAAUGUUUUUCAAAUUGUACAACUGCAUUAAUUUUGCUGUUUGGCAGCAGCUAAUGGGGAUUAAUAGUAAAAACAAAUGCACAUUUAGAACUGAUUUAGCAAAAACUAAGACCACAUUUAUUAUACAGACUCAACUGUCAAAGGUGGGUUCAGUUUUGCUUUGGAGGACCUAGUGUCUUUCAGAGUAGCUUCAAUCAAAAGCGUCACUAGUCAACACAGUGUCUAAGUGGUUUUGAUCCUUGUCCUUUGUGUGGUGUCACUACAGAAUUAUUCACAAAAUAUGGCUGGGAUGUUGAAAAACUGAUAAUAGCCUUACUAUCUUUUAUUUCAUCUGCUGUAUUGAUAAAACAUAUUUACCAUUCCCUUGUCUCUGUUGAAUAA